rnacentral:rRNA from 1 species
GACGAACGCUGGCGGCGUGCCUAAUACAUGCAAGUAGAACGCUGAAGGAGGAGCUUGCUUCUCUGGAUGAGUUGCGAACGGGUGAGUAACGCGUAGGUAACCUGCCUGGUAGCGGGGGAUAACUAUUGGAAACGAUAGCUAAUACCGCAUAAGAGUAGAUGUUGCAUUACAUUUGCUGAAGAGGUGCAAUUGCAUCACUACCAAUAGUACCUGCAUUGUUUUAGUCUGUAGGUGGGGUCACGGCUCACCAAGGUGACGAUACAUAGACGUGCUGAGAGGGUGGUCGGACACACUCAGACUGCGACAGCGCUCCGACUCCUACGAGAGGCAGCAGUAGCGGUACUUAGGCCAUGGACGGCAGUCUGACCGAGCAACGCAGCGUGAGUGACGGAGGUUUUUGGCUCGUACAGCUCUGUUGCAAGAGAAGACCGCGUGUGAGAGUCGAAAGUUCACACUGUGACGGUAUCUUACCAGAAAGGGACGGCUAACUACGUG